UACCUGGUUGACCCUGCCAGGACCAUAUGCUUGUCUCAAAGAUUAAGCCAUGCAUGUCUA
rnacentral:ncRNA from 1 species